CCUACGGGAGGCAGCAGUGGGGAAUAUUGGGCAAUGGGCGCAAGCCUGACCCAGCAACGCCGCGUGAAGGAAGAAGGCUUUCGGGUUGUAAACUUCUUUUAUCAGGGACGAAGCAAGUGACGGUACCUGAUGAAUAAGCCACGGCUAACUACGUGCCAGCAGCCGCGGUAAUACGUAGGUGGCAAGCGUUAUCCGGAUUUACUGGGUGUAAAGGGCGUGUAGGCGGGAGUGCAAGUCAGAUGUGAAAACUAUGGGCUCAACCCAUAGCCUGCAUUUGAAACUGUACUUCUUGAGUGCUGGAGAGGCAAUCGGAAUUCCGUGUGUAGCGGUGAAAUGCGUAGAUAUACGGAGGAACACCAGUGGCGAAGGCGGAUUGCUGGACAGCAACUGACGCUCAUGCACGAAAGCGUGGGUAUCGAACAGGAUUAGAUACCCUUGUAGUC
rnacentral:rRNA from 1 species